GAUGAACGCUGGCGGCGUGCCUAAUACAUGCAAGUCGAGCGAACAGACGAGGAGCUUGCUCCUCUGACGUUAGCGGCGGACGGGUGAGUAACACGUGGAUAACCUACCUAUAAGACUGGGAUAACUUCGGGAAACCGGAGCUAAUACCGGAUAAUAUAUUGAACCGCAUGGCUCAAUAGUGAAAGACGGUAUUGCUGUCAGUUAUAGAGGGAACCGCGCCGCCUUAGCUAGUUGGUGAGGUAACGGCUUACCAAGGGAACGAUGCGUAACCGACCUGAGAGGACGACCAGUCAGCGCGAAACGGAGACACGGUUCGCACUUCUACGGAAGGGAGCAGUAAAGAAGCGUACAAAAUGGACGAAAGUAUGAAGGGGCGACGCCGCGUGCAGCAUGAAUGCCCGUGAGUCACAAAUUGCUAUGUUGGGGGAAAAAUUCUGAUUGUACCCAAAGAAAAAGCACCGGCAAAUCACGUG
rnacentral:rRNA from 1 species